UGAACUUGAGAGUUUNAUCCUGGCUCAGAACGAACGCUGGCGGCAGGCUUAACACAUGCAAGUCGAACGGGCGCAGCGCAUGCGUAGACAGUGGCAGACGGGUGAGUAACGCGUGGGAACGUACUUUCGGUUCGGAAUAACUCAGGGAAACUWAAGCUAAUACCGGAUACGCCUUAAGGGGGAAAGAUUUAUUCGCGAAAGAUCGGCCCGCGUCCGAUUAGCUAGCUGUUGGUGAGGUNAAGGCUNACCAAGGCGACGAUCGGNAGCUNGUCUGAGAGGAUGAUCAGCKACACUGGGACUGAGACACGGCCCAGACUCUACGGAGGCAGCAGUGGGAAUAUUGGACAAUGGGCGCAAGCCUGAUCCAGCCAUGCCGCGUGAGUGAUGAAGGCCUUAGGGUUGUAAAGCUCUUUCGCCAGGGACGAUAAUGACGGUACCUGGAUAAGAACCCCGGCUAACUUCGUGCCAGCAGCCGCGGUAAUACGAAGGGGGCAAGCGUAGUUCGGAAUCGCUGGGCGUAAAGCGCACGUAGGCGGAUUGUUCAGUCCGGGGUGAAAUCCGAGGCUCAACCUCGGAACUGCCUNNNAUMCUGCGUAUCUUGAGUCGGGAAGAGGUAAGUAUGACUCGAGUGUAGAGUGAAUUCGUAGAUAUUCGCAGAACACCAGUGGCGAAGGCGGCUACUGGCCCGNNACUGACGCUGAGGUGCGNAAGCGUGGGGAGCAAACAGGAUUAGAUACCCUGGUAGUCCACGCCGUAAACGAUGGAUGCUAGCCGUUGGGGAGCUUGCUGUUCAGUGGCGCAGGUAACGCUUUAAGCAUUCCGCCUGGGGAGUACGGUCGCAAGAUUAAAACCGCUAGGAGUURUUGGGGGUCCCACCGCAGCGGUGGAGUNANNUNGUUAAUNUAANNCCGCGCAGAACCUUACCAGCUUUUGACAUGUCCGGUAUGGUGGUCAGAGAUGACUUCCUUCCGCAAGGGGCCGGAUACAGGUGCUGCAUNGCUNUCGUCAGNUCGUGUCGUGAGAUGUUGGGUUAAGUCCCGCAACGAGCGCAACCAUCAGCCGACUUAGUUGCCAUCAUUCAGUUGGGCACUCUAGGGANACUGCCGGUGAUAAUCCGACGAGGAAGGUAGGGGAUGACGUCAAGUCCUMAUGCGCUUACGAGGCUVGGCUACACACGUGCUACAAUGGCGGUGACAAUGGGAACGACGAMGUGACGCCGAGCUAAUCUCCAAAAGCCGUCUCAGUUCGGAUUGCACUCUGCAACUCGAGUGCAUGAAGGUGGAAUCGCUAGUAAUCGCAGAUCAGCACGCUGCGGUGAAUACGUUCCCUGGCCUUGUACACACCCNCGUCACACCAUGGGAGUNGGUUUUGCCAGAAGUAGUUAGCCUAACCGCAAGGAGGGCNAUUACCACGGCAGGGUUCAUGACUGGGGUNAAGUNNNNACAAGGUAGCCGUA
rnacentral:rRNA from 1 species